UACAUGGGGUGCAAACGUUGCUCGGAAUUAUUAGGCGUAAAGCGCACGUAGGCGGUUUGUUAAGUCGGAUGUGAAAUCCCUCGGCUCAACUGAGGAAGUGCACCCGAAACUGGCAGGCUUGAGUACUAAAGAGGGUCGCGGAAUUCCCGGUGUAGAGGUGAAAUUCGUAGAUAUCGGGAGGAACACCGGUGGCGAAGGCGACGACCUGGGUAGAUACUGACGCUGAGGUGCGAAAGCGUGGGGAGCAAACAGG
rnacentral:rRNA from 1 species